CUCUGAUAUGGAAGGCCAAGAUCAUUUCCUCACGUGAUCUCAAAGGACCCCGCCCUAACAGGAUGGCGAUUUAAAGAGAAAGUCCUUGAAGACAAGAAACCCGGCCAGUGAGAUUAUUGAAAAAGUUGUAAUGUUACUUGGAUGUAUGAGGAAUCUGGACCUCACUGUAGCCUGCUGUGUAAGUGUGUAGCCUGCUGCCCGGCGACUAUCUAUGCUGGCACUCAGUGAAAACUACUUCAACUAAG
rnacentral:lncRNA from 1 species